CACAUUACUUCCUAAUGAAUAGCUUACUUAUGUAAUCCCCAAUCUUCAUCACUCCCUCAUUCCCCUCCACGGAAUGUUCAAGCAAUGGACUCCAAAAAUGUAGAGAAAAAAACAGCACAAGCUCGUAAUAAUUUUGAAAAGGACACAGGUUUGGUUCUCAGAAUAUAAUAUACAUUGCCUCCAAAUAACGCGAGCUACUUGAUUGUGUUGCCAAAACCAAGUGCCAGAAUGCAAAUUAAAGAAGAGAAACUGGGUUGAAAUCAUUUGUGACUUCUUCUACCUUUAGAUUACUAUUAAUGUGUCUAAAAGGUUCCCAUAAUGCAGCCCUCUCUUCAUCGCAUACUACCACACUUAAGCUCUCAAGGUCAUUCACUGAGUAUGGCAGUUCAUACAAUCUGGUGCAACCUCUGCAAUUGAACCUUUCUAAACUACGCAACUUCCCAAUGUUCUCUGGUAAGUUACCAAGGCUUACACAGUCAGAGAUGUCAAGAAAUUUCAGNNNNNNNNNNNNNNNNNNNNNNNNNNNNNNNNNNNNNNNNNNNNNNNNNNNNNNNNNNNNNNNNNNNNNNNNNNNNNNNNNNNNNNNNNNNNNNNNNNNNCUUUCCAAUUCCUAUAGGAAGUUUAGAAAGCUUAUGGCAGUUUGUGAUGCUUAGCUUCUUUAGGGAAACAAUAUCAGAGAGUCCAUCUGGCAAUUCCUCCAUAUCACAGUAAUCAAUGUUCAUUUCCUUCAGAUUUGGCAGCACAUCAGAAACUUUGAUGGUCCUAAUUUUGAAGGCUUCAUUCACAUUGCACAUAAAGAAAGAGAACUUGUGCAGAUUCUUCAGUGGCACUCCAUUCUUGCUCAGGAAAGGAAUUGAAACCUUCUCUAACCUGAUUCGUUUGAGAUCAGAAAGAUAAUCAAGCCGCUCUAAAUUCUCCAACUCAGCACGAUUGACGUCAUAAUUCGUUAUUAUCAGGACUUUUAAUUUAUUCAUUUUCUCCAUGAACAUCGGUAGUGAGUGCUUCUUUUUUCUAAGGUUCAUCACUAGAACCUUAACCUCAUUUGGCUGCAAGUUGCACCACUCUGAAUUGAAUUCUUCAUCUGCAAAAUCAGAUUCAAUAUUUAGUGUUUGAGAACUCUCUCUCAACAUGUGUCCAUGCCAUAUGUGCAUCAAGAUAGAAAUAUGAACAUACCAGUUGAGAUGGAUAAUGUGUGGGCUGCAAUGUGAUACUCAUUCUUUGUAGUCCACCAUUCGGGAAUAUUGUUCCCUCUUAGGUCAAUUAUUAGUCUAUGACUCUUCUCCGUCGGUAACUUUCUUGUUUGAAGGAUGGCUAGGUCCCGAAGAAGACCAUGCUGCGUAACAUAGUGGUAAUUGUAGUCACCUGUGCUACUUGCAGAACUCCUGACCAAUGAAUAGAAAUUAAUCGCCUAUGAGUUCAUGCACACAAAACAGCUCAAACAAUAUUCUCUUCAUCUACCAACAGUAAAUUUUUCAAGAUAUACUUGGAAUGAUUUUAAAUGGUUUAAGGCAUGGAUGUUCUCCAUUGAGAAGCAGUAAUUCGCCAUACCUUGUGACAACCAUAUCAGCCACGUUCCUUUUGACAAGUUCAUAGAUAUUCUCCAUUGCAGUGUCAUCGUCUUCAUCACUCUGUUCUGCCCAUAUAUCAACAAGUGUUGCAGCGCGUAUCUUCUGUGCUUCAGGAAACAAGCUCAGGUCUGUAAAACUCUCAGCCACCUUAGCAUCCAAAUCAUCCAAGCAUUUUUGGAGGCAAGUAAAAAGCACAUCCUGACUAGAACUGUAAGUAAGAACAGAAUGACCCUUCGACAAUGUCUUCGCCCUGUUGUUCCAAACCACUGGUGCUUCAAAACUUAAAGAUUUGCCAGUCACUAUAAGAGCCAAGGGAGAACCACUGCACCCUUUUGCUAUCUGAAAUUUAUUUGGUGUUCAGUAAAAUCAGAAAUUGCUACUAAAACAUUUAGCAUUGUUUUAAAAUUAUCAUUACUGGAAGUAUUUUGUAGUUACAGUUUUACACACCGCAUUUGUAAUAGUAUAAUUGAGCAAUAGAGAGUACCUUCUUGACAACAUUAUCGGGAAUGUUAGAGCUAGACUGAUCCAGGGAUGCAUAGUGGCGAAAUAAGUUUAAAGCAUCGGCUUCAUUAAGUGAUUUCAACACGUAUGGCUCCCCAAAUCCUUUAAUUGUGGAUCUUGAUGUCACUAAAAUCUUGUAGUUUGGGAUCUGAAACACGAAUUUCUCAACUAGAGAUGUUGACUUUGGCAAAACACCGUCAAGGACCAACAACUUGGGGGUUUCCCCAAUCUGUUUUAGCAAAUUUUGCAAUUGAUUAGCUGCAUCCUCAUCACUUUGAAACUCUGGCUUCUGGUAACCAUUGUGUUCAAACAGUCUCUCCACUAUGGUGCUUAACUUGGGCGCUUCCUCUAAGGAGAUGAAGAAUAUGUUGUCCUUGAAUUUACCUAAACAAAUUUCAACAUGUUUAGAGUUCCGGACAUUCAUUCUAAAGUUCCUAUUACUUAGACAUGUUUACUAAACAAGUGAAACUAUGACCCUCACUGAAAAUAAGAUCAAGCUUCGUAGGCCAAUUAUUUUGGACAUCAUCAAGAACAUAUAAAAUAGUUUCACUUCUCAACUUCUUAAAUCACUUUAUUCUCUCCACAUUCACACAUCUAUUCCCCUAAUGGAUUAAGUGUGCUUGUAUUUUCAUCAAGUUCAAUGUUUCUGCCUCAAAAUGGGUAAAGGUCUCUUAAAUGAAAGUUUUCCAAACACAUCCUAAAACCCAUUUGUUGCAUUCUGACAACAAAACAUUCAGUUGUAGCUAAUAGCUAGCGUACAAUGACUAAAAGUGGCAACCUCUAUCAAAUGUGACAGCUACCGAACUAGAUUCAGUACUAAAUAGUAUCCAGUAACUAGUAAUGAAGUUAAAUAACUACCUAAUGGUUUGAGAUCAAUAGAACAAGAAGACCCUCAAACAACUUUUCAAACGAUACGACAGACAGAUAAUGGGUGAUCAUUCAUACCUUUAACUUCCUCAUCAGAACAAAACUUCUUGGCCAACGUUGACUUUCCCGAACCUCCUGUUCCUGUCACUGUCAGCACUGAGCCCACAUGAUGAUCCUUCAGCAACUUGAAUUUCAACUCCCUCAAAUGAACAUCCAACCCAACAGUGAAAGCAGGGGGUUCAGGUGGAGAGCACAAGCCUUUUAAUCCAAUCCUUCUCGGAGCAUUCUCCACAAGCCUCGCAUGAAUCUCGGUCAGCAGCACCUGGUUUUCCAACACAGUGACGUUUAUAUUUCCUUGCAUAUCUAAUUGAAAGUACCGAUAAAUAGAAUCGAUCAACUCUUGAAGUUUCUCUUGGGAAUUCGCCUUAUAACAGAAAUUCCACCGAUCAACUUUGGAGCACUCCUUAACAAGCUCCUUCCCCUUCUUUAUCUGGUCAAUCAGCUUCUUCGUUGCCUUAGGUGGUUUAUCCAAUCGCUUGUUAAUACCAUCUAUCUGCCUAGCCACAGGUUCUACUAUUUGGAGGAUUUCUCGCAAUUUUUCCAGGGUGGAUCUGAACUUCACUGCCCUGUCUUUCAUUUCCACAACAGUCUUCAGCAGUUCAUCAAGCACUUUUCCAAGAACAGCAUCAAGAACCAUAGCCAUGACUACUGCCCACAGAAACUAAUUAACUAAAAACACCCAAAAUCAGAAACUUUGAUCUAACACUGGUAUCUGAGUCAAACAAACUCAAUAUAAAGGUACGGGCAUCAGGAAAAUAGCAAAAAUGUGGUGAAAUAAUACAGAAUGCUAACAAAAAUUCUCCAAAGAUUCUUUUUCUUUUUCUUUUUCUUUCAAAGACUCUGUUACGUUGGAGAAUCUGGUACCAGAUGUCUUUGUUCACACCAAUCAGGGUAUACAGGAAAAGAUGGCUAGAUAGUUUGUUUCUCUGAAAACUGCAAGAUUCUCUUGGAUUUAUAGGAUUUAGUGUUUUUUUUGUUUUGACGAGGCCCUUCACACUAAACCGAGUUUCCCAUCGGCUUCCUUUGCUCUAUAACGUAGAACUUUCCUUCAACAAUGGUUACGAAAAAUUUCUUUGUCUUGACUUUGGGGUCACUGAGACCAACAAUGUAUAACUUCAGCUGGUUGAGGUUCACAUACUACCCAAUGUUCACACUGACACACAGUAGUUAAGACAUUGUCUGAAUAACUGUGAUUGUUAUAAAUAUAAUAAUAAUAAUAAUUAAUUAGAGAAAUUGUAUUUUUUUGUCGUAUAAUUUAAUGGGAACACUGAACACAUUAGUUCCAAACAUAUGCAAAGACUUUUAUGACCCCUCAUGUCGUCGUCAACGUAAAUUAGUUUCAACCCUUAAACUUAAAUGCUAUUAUAUUAUUGGUUUUUUUUUUGUCUCGUAGGAGUGGUCCAAUUUAUUUCGUUUAUUAUGAAAAUGUAUAAAAAAUAAUUUCUUUACAAUUUUGGAAAGAUAAUGUUUUAUUAGCACAUUUUGUUGUGAAGAAGAAGUCAUGUUUAUGACAUAUAAUUUUAGUAUAAAAUGAAAUUUAUAGUAAAGUUGUGUUAUGGCAGAAGCAAAAUAGUUAGGUAUUCAUGCAUGAGUAACACGUAAAAUAAAUUGAGUUUGUGUAUGACUCUAACGACUUAAAUUGUUUUAUUUUACAUUCAAUAGUUUUCUAUUAAUUUCUUCAUAAUCAUAUAUCGCAAAUUGACAUUUUUUGUUUUUUCUAGCUUUUGAUAUUCUUUUUGUUUUGUUUGUUACUUCUUUUAGGUUUUAUGUUUAUUUUUGUUUACUUUAAAUACGUGAUUAGUCUAGUAAUUUGGUGAUGUUUGUCUGUGUCUUUUUUACUUAUGGGUCACCUUUCAUUUUCUAUAGAUUUCGUUGAUAAUUGGAUUGAAAUUUUUUCUCUCAUAGCACAUGAAUAAAAAGGGAAAUUCUUUUUUAAAAAAUGCAAGUUGGACCAUCAUUUGGUUGGCUCUGCACGUUCACGUACCAUUUGCACCUUCCAUGCAAUUAUAACACCAUUUGCACCUUCCAUGCAUUUAUAUAACACUGCUUUAUGUAACAUUUUUCUUGCAUGUGGGACCACUUUCUUUUUCUUGUCCUUUUGUUUGUUAUAUUUUUUAUAUUUCGCUUGCACAACUUUAAUGUAAAAUAAAAUAAAUGAAGUUGUUAAAGUUAUGCACAAUUUUAGUUGAUUUAUUUUAAGCUAGAUAUUAUGCUUUAAAAUCUUGUGCGCAUCUUGAACGUUUAGUACUUCUAAAAAUAAUUCAAAAUUAAUUUUAAUACGUAUUAAUCAAAUUAUCAACAUCAAUUAGAUUUAAGAUUAAAAACAUUAUUUGAAAACCUUCUUUUUCAGAAAGCUAUUGGUAACAUUAUUACAAAAAAAAAAUUCUAUCUCAAUACAAGUUUCAAACGUUGAAGUAUAUCAAACAUUUCCUAAGAUUAACUUUAACAAAAACAAAAUCCUAAUUCGAAUAAUUUCUGGAAAAAAAUCUUUCUCUAGUAAAAAACUUCUUGCAUUUUUUAAAACCUUCCGUCUUUGUAUGAAUUCAAAAUGUUCAUGCAUAACAAAGUAUUACAUGACAUUAUUUUUUUAUUUAAACAAAAUUAGAAAAGUAAAUAACUAUUGUUUUUGAAAAAUUAUUCACAGUCAAAUUACAAAAACCUUUUAGAAUGAGUUAAUCAAUACAUUGAUGUAGUUCUUUGAAUAAUGAGUUUUGCAAAUGAUUAAUAAUUAAUUAGAAACAUAAUUAAAUUAUAAUUAUUAAGUUUAGAAGAAUCUUGAAUGGUUAGAUCGUUUAUCGUGAAAGCAAAAACUAGACAGUCUAACACGAAAACGAAGACUAAAUCAUUUUGCACUUUGUGUUUGAGACUGUCUUGCAUGUUAAACUCUAGUGAGACAGUUUAAUGAGUUUAACCUAUUGAGACCUUCUAACAUGUUCAACUAUGUGAGACCAUGUAGAACAUUAUAGUAUUUUGAGACCAUGUAACAUAUUUAACAAUGUGAGACCGUCUAACAGGUAAAUAUUGUAACUUGUCUAACAAUUAUGCUUUGACAUUUGCACAAUAAGAAGUUUUGUUAUAUCCUUAAUACACCUUAUAGUGUUUGUUAUCAUCAAAACCUCAUAGAUUCUAUUAUCAUAAGACCGUUUAGUGGGGUAUUAGACUAUCGAACAGUGACUAUACCAUCUAAUGUAUUAACAUUUGACCUUUGUGUGGUGCGACACCAAGAUAAGUGUCACACAUUUCCUCUCAAUCAAACAUUAUGCAACCAACAAGCGGUGGUCCAUCUACUUAGACCUAAUUGAAGUGAAUUAUCCUAUAAUGUAAUGGUACACUCGCCAGUUGGAAUGUGGAAUGUGCGAGUUUCAGGUCUCCACCUCUCAACCAAAAAUGUUACUAAGACAUUAUCCACUUUUAAAUGUCUUAAUUUUGCAAUUUCAUUGGAAUUGUUAAAAGGUGUCAUUGAAUGACAAUAAGACUCCACAACAUCAUGUUUGAGAUUCUGCAAAAUUGAAGAAACUAAUAUACCAUGAAAAUAUUACCAUAAAAACUACACUUUGGAGAACAAAAAAUGUGAUGAACUUGUCAUAGUAGCAAUGUAUACAAACCUAUGUUUUUGGUUGAUUCCACAACAACAUAUUGAUGGAGCAAAAUUUACUUUGCAAUGGAGAAAAGGUUAGAAAAGUAGUUACAAGCAGUGUCUUUUGGAAUACCGUAAAUGAUAAAAUUUGUGAAGUUGUAUUUAUAGAUGGUCUCGAUUGAAUUUAGAGCAUUAAUUGGGGUAGAUUCAAUCUAAGACAUUAUAUUUGGCUUGACACUCUACUUAAGAAUACGUGUCAUGUUCAGGAAAUAAUGUGGAUGAAUAGUGCCUCGUGCUUUGUGUGUAUUCAUUUUGGAGUGUUGAUGAGGACAAAUUCAAUUUAGGACAUUGCUUUUGGGUUGACACUUUGCUCAAAAAUCUUUGUCAUGUUUAGGCAAUAAUGUGGGUGAACAUUGUCUCGUGCUUUAUAUGAGUUCAUUCUAGAGUGUUGAUGGGAAAUGAAUUUGGGACGUUGGUUUAAGGUUGACAAGAAGAAUGGGUUUUUGACUAUGAUGGAGUUAUUUUUUUUGUUUUUUACCAAAAUGGGAUCCGUUUAAAAAAAAUACAAAUUUAGGCUAGUCGUACCAAUUCGGCACGACUUCAUAUGCACAAAUCGUUCCAAUUAGACAUGACUUCUGCCCUAUCAUACUAAAGUCGUGCCAAGUUGGCACGACUUCUGCCUUGUCAUACUGAAGUCGUGCCAACUUGACACUACUUUUGCCACGUCAUAAAUUUUUUUAUCUAUGUAUUUAUUCAUUCAUAACACCCUUAGAACAUUCAUUUUCUUUAUCUAUGUAUUUAUUCAUUCAUAACACUCUUAGAACAUUCAUUUUCUUUAUCUAUGUAUUUAUUCAUUCAAUUCAAACAUGAUCCAUACACGAUUAUUCAAUUUUUUGUUGCUUAAAACUAACACUCUUAGAAAAUUAUGUAUCAAAUUAAUUUUUAACAUUACAUAACUUACUACCCAAUAUAUAAACAAUAAAAUUAAAAAAAAUUAUAACGUGACAGGAGUCGUGCCAAGUUGGCACAACUUCAGUAUGACAUGGCAGAGUCGUAUCUAAUUGGGACGAUUUGUGCAUAUGGAGUCGUGCUGAAUUGGCACGACUUGCCUAAAUUUGUAAUUUUUUUUAAACGGACCCCACCUAAAUUUGUAAUUUUUUUUAAACGGACCCCAUUUUGGUAAGAAGCAAAAAAAAUAACACCAUGAUGGUAAAAAACCCCAAAAAGAAUCUUUGUCAUGCUCACGCAUUAAUGUGGGUAAACAGUGUUUUAUACUUUACUAGUAGAUUCAUUCUAAAGCAUUGAUGACUUGAUGGAGAAACAUUCAAUACAGAACGUUGAUUUAUGGGUUAACACUUACUUAAUAAUCUCUAUCAUGCUCUAUCAUGUUGAGCCAAUAAUGUGGGAAACAAUUCCUCAUACUUUGUGUGGCUUAAUUUUCCUUCAUCCUGAAAAGUAAUGGGUCAUACACAUUACUUCCUAAUGAAUAGCUUACUUCUGUAAUCCCCAAUCCUCAUCACUCCCUCAUUCCCCUCCACGGAAUGUUCAAGCAAUGGACUCCAAAAAUGUAGAGAAAAAAACAGCACAAGCUCGUAAUAAUUUUGAAAAGGACACAGGUUUGGUUCUCAGAAUAUAAUAUACAUUGCCUCCAAAUAACGCGAGCUACUUGAUUGUGUUGCCAAAACCAAGUGCCAGAAUGCAAAUUAAAGAAGAGAAACUGGGUUGAAAUCAUUUGUGACUUCUUCUACCUUUAGAUUACUAUUAAUGUGUCUAAAAGGUUCCCAUAAUGCAGCCCUCUCUUCAUCGCAUACUACCACACUUAAGCUCUCAAGGUCAUUCACUGAGUAUGGCAGUUCAUACAAUCUGGUGCAACCUCUGCAAUUGAACCUUUCUAAACUACGCAACUUCCCAAUGUUCUCUGGUAAGUUACCAAGGCUUACACAGUCAGAGAUGUCAAGAAAUUUCAGUUUAUGAAGGCUUGUGAUGCUGUCUGGCAACUCUUCUAAUUCAGUACAAGAAGUAAGCCUCAGUGAUUCCAAAUUCACCAACUUUCCAAUUCCUAUAGGAAGUUUAGAAAGCUUAUGGCAGUUUGUGAUGCUUAGCUUCUUUAGGGAAACAAUAUCAGAGAGUCCAUCUGGCAAUUCCUCCAUAUCACAGUAAUCAAUGUUCAUUUCCUUCAGAUUUGGCAGCACAUCAGAAACUUUGAUGGUC
rnacentral:lncRNA from 1 species